GAAGAGCUGGAAAGCAGGAUUAAAGUUUGUGAGGACCAGAUAACAGCCAAAGAGAAGGCUCUGCAGGAUCUACUAGGUCAAACAUUGUCCAUCGAAAACCCAUUGGAAAGCAUCUCUGGUCUAUUGACGGCAGCAGAGUCUCACAGACAGUCAUCGGCUCAGACUGAGGA